AUACAGAGGGUGCAAGCGUUAAUCGGAAUUACUGGGCGUAAAGCGCACGUAGGUGGUUCAUUAAGUCAGAUGUGAAAGCCCCGGGCUCAACCUGGGAACUGCAUUUGAAACUGGUGAGCUAGAGUAUGGUAGAGGUAAGUGGAAUUCCAGGUGUAGCGGUGAAAUGCGUAGAUAUCUGGAGGAACAUCAGUGGCGAAGGCGACUUACUGGACCAAUACUGACACUGAGGUGCGAAAGCGUGGGGAGCAAACAGGAUUAGAUACCCUAGUAGUCC
rnacentral:rRNA from 1 species